AUGUCUAUAGGAGAUGAGAAGGUUGAUCCGUAUGUUCACCUGCCCCAACUUGCUGGGGACAAAAGGUUUGUUGUUGUUGUCAUUGACGUUGACGUUGUCGUUCUUGUGGUUGUUCUUGUCGUCGUGGUUGUCGUCGUCGUCGUCGUCGUUGUUGUUGUUGCUGUUGUCGUUGACGUUGUCGUUCUUCUUCUUCUUCUUCUUCUUGUUGUUCUUGUCGUCGUGGUUGUCGUUGUUGUUGUUGUCGUGUCGUCGUUGUUGUUCAGCUUUCUGUUUAUCAACUCAUGUGAAAGGUCGAGGCACUGGUGA
rnacentral:rRNA from 1 species